GGCUGGACCGGAGACAGGUGCUGCAUGGCUGUCGUCAGCUCGUGUCGUGAGAUGUUGGGUUAAGUCCCGCAACGAGCGCAACCCCGUCCUUAGUUGCUACCAUUUAGUUGAGCACUCUAAGGAGACUGCCGGUGAUAAGCCGCGAGGAAGGUGGGGAUGACGUCAAGUCCUCAUGGCCCUUACGGGCUGGGCUACACACGUGCUACAAUGGCGGUGACAAUGGGAUGCGAAAGGGCAACCUCUAGCAAAUCUCAAAAAGCCGUCUCAGUUCGGAUUGGGCUCUGCAACUCGAGCCCAUGAAGUUGGAAUCGCUAGUAAUCGUGGAUCAGCAUGCCACGGUGAAUACGUUCCCGGGCCUUGUACACACCGCCCGUCACACCAUGGGAGUUGGUUUUACCUGAAGGUAGGUGCGCUAACCAGCAAUGGAGGCAGCCGGCCACGGUAGGGUCAGCGACUGGGGUGAAGUCGUAACAAGGUAGCCGUAGGGGAACCUGCGGCUGGAUCACCUCCUUUCUG
rnacentral:rRNA from 1 species